UACGAAGGGGGCUAGCGUUGCUCGGAAUCACUGGGCGUAAAGGGCGCGUAGGCGGCCGAUCAAGUCGGAGGUGAAAGCCCAGGGCUCAACCCUGGAAUGGCCUUCGAUACUGGUUGGCUCGAGACCGGAAGAGGUAAGUGGAACUGCGAGUGUAGAGGUGAAAUGCGUAGAUAUCUGGAGGAACACCGGUGGCGAAGGCGGCAUCCUGGACCGGCAUUGACGCUGAGGCGCGAAAGCCAGGGGAGCAAACGGG
rnacentral:rRNA from 1 species